rnacentral:rRNA from 1 species
AGAGUUUGAUCCUGGCUCAGGAUGAACGCUGGCGGCAUGCCUAAUACAUGCAAGUCGAACGAGAGACCUUCGGGUCUCUAGUGGCGAACGGGUGAGUAACACGUAGGGAACCUGCCCGCGCACCGGGAAUACGCUCUGGAAACGGAGAACAAAUCCCGAUGUACAGGAAGGAGGCAUCUUCUUUCUGUGAAACAUCCUUUCGGGGAUGGGGCGCGGAUGGACCUGCGGUGCAUUAGUUGGUUGGCGGGGUAAAGGCCCACCAAGACGAUGAUGCAUAGCCGGCCUGAGAGGGCGGACGGCCACAUUGGGACUGAGACACGGCCCAGACUCCUGCGGGAGGCAGCAGUAGGGAAUUUUCGUCAAUGGGCGCAAGCCUGAACGAGCGAUGCCGCGUGAGUGAAGAAGGCCUUCGGGUCGUAAAGCUCUGUUGCGGGGGAAAAAAGGCAGCAUCAGGAAAUGGGUGCUGACUGAUGGUGCCCCGCCAGAAAGUCACGGCUAACUACGUGCCAGCAGCCGCGGUAAUACGUAGGUGGCGAGCGUUAUCCGGAAUGAUUGGGCGUAAAGGGUGCGCAGGCGGUCCUGCAAGUCUGGAGUGAAACGCAUGAGCUCAACUCAUGCAUGGCUUUGGAAACUGGAGGACUGGAGAGCAGGAGAGGGCGGUGGAACUCCAUGUGUAGCGGUAAAAUGCGUAGAUAUAUGGAAGAACACCAGUGGCGAAGGCGGCCGCCUGGCCUGUUGCUGACGCUGAGGCACGAAAGCGUGGGGAGCAAAUAGGAUUAGAUACCCUAGUAGUCCACGCCGUAAACGAUGAGGACCAAGUGUUGGGGGUGAAACCUCAGUGCUGAAGUUAACGCAGUGAGUCCUCCGCCUGGGGAGUAUGCACGCAAGUGUGAAACUCAAAGGAAUUGACGGGGGCCCGCACAAGCGGUGGAGUAUGUGGUUUAAUUCGAAGCAACGCGAAGAACCUUACCA